rnacentral:lncRNA from 1 species
UGUAACACUCACCACGAGGGUCCGCAGCUUCAUUCUUAAAGUCAGCGAGACCAAGAACCCACCAAUUCCGGACACGCAAGUAUUCGUAACGUUCUUCUGUUCCAAGAAAAAUGGUCUUCUUACUUCCUUGAUGGCUCACAACAUGCUCCUUUCUACUGCAGGAACACUGUAUAACUUCUGUCAAGCAUGAACUCCCCACCUCUGUUUGACAUACUUCUCUACUUUCAGAACUCAGCUGAACUAUCGCUUCUCAAGGGAGCACUCAAACUUCCUGAACAGAACCACCUUAGAUAUUGCUGGCCAGCUCAUGAAUUGUGGCUUGUGGUCCAGCUAAUCUUUCCUAGUCUAUUCAGCUAUGGCCAGAGAAGAUGUGCUUAACUUGUGGAGCCUUACUGUUUCUCUAAGGACAUUCUUCUACAUAAUGUUGCGUCAGUAGAAUAAUUUUCUCACCAAGUGAUAGCUAGGUAGGUCAGUAAAUCCUCUCCUACACCGUAGUUAUUUGCUUUAAGCCAACUUGAAGUGAACUUCUGUCUCUUCUUUAAUCUGAGAAUCUUACGUCUUCAAGCCCUGUUCACACCGCUUGUCCCAUUAGAAUAAACCUUAUUUAAGGGCAGAAGAUAAUCAUGUUUUACGGUUACACAUUUUACAGCCUCAUUUCCAUUAACUCUGGAAUUAUUUCACUGAUAAGAACUAUCAGAAGAGAUAUAGGCAUAGGCAUGAAAUUUAUAAGCCUCCUCCAAAUCAUGAUUCCUGUGAAUGGCUGCAGCUCACUGUUGCAUUGGUUGGUACAUACUGUCACCAUGAUAAAAUAGUUAUAAUCGUGUUGUCUUAAUUUAAAAGAUAGCAGUCAAAAAGGUGAGAUUUCCAGAGGAAAUAAAAUAAAAUGAGGAUAAUAGAGAGAAAGAAGAUGGGAUACUGUACCAUUUAGUGCAGUAAUGAUGAAGGAUGAUAGAUAAUAUGUAAUGCUUGUACUAGGAAUGUGAAUUGUAUUUUUAAAAGCAUUUGUUUCUCACCCUAGUAUCCCAGUAACUCGCAAAUGAACACCUUGGUGUUAAAUAAUCUGAGUGCUUGGAAGAAUAGAUUGUUUCCAUCCCAAUUUCACUUUAACAAGACUUAUUAGGUAGCAUGAGAGAGUAAUGAAGAGGAUGGUUACAUAGAAAAAUGCCUUUAAGUAUAAUUUCAAUGUUGAUGUCCUGAGUGGAUCCAGCUUAUCAGUUAAUACUGUCUUUUGUUUCCAAAGUGUGCAUGCUGCCAAAAGUCUACUAGAGUACUAGUUGUCUAUAGAUCUAAAUUUGAUUGUGGGGAAGUAAUAACAUGACCUAAUCAUAUGAAACAUUUCUCAGUUCAUUGUUCAAAACAUAGCAGUUUUAACUGCUAAGGCUUUGGAAUUCAUCUCAGCUUUUUGUCUAAAAAUACACAGUGUGAUCAAGAUUCUUUGAAAGAUUAUUCAGCAUUACCAGGCAAAGACUAAAAUCACUGCAUUUGAUUAUGAUGGGCACAGUCACCCACCUUAAGUCAUUCACAUUACUUUCUGAGUCCUUUAGUAGAAUCAAAAUCCAUCAUUAAGUACGCUCUCCCCCAGCACAGGGCAGUAUCCAAUCUCAUUUUACAUUCAUAUAAAAAUACUCUAACAAAUCUUAAGGUCUUUGAAGAUCAUUGGAGAUUUAUUUUGUGGGUAAGAAAACUGAAGACUAUGAAAUGCAAAUAAUUAUUUAGCUUCUUAUUAGCUGAUUGUAAAACUAGGAAACAUUACAUUGUCAGCCCACUCUGAUCUUAAAAUUUCAUAUGGGAUUGAGUGUCAAGUCCUGUUAAAAUGAAGCCUUCACAAGGCAGGGGAUGUGUUUGUGUGUAUAUAUGCAUAUCUGCCUAUGUAUAUGUGUGUUUCUGUGCUGUACCACACAUGCUUGGACAAUGCCUGGCAUAGAAAUGCUUAAUAAAUAUUGGUUCAAUGACUGUAUGAAAGUUGAUAUUCAAGGUAAAAACAUUUUUAUGUGUGAUAUCAAAAUUGAGGUUUGCUUAUUUGAAAAAAUUGUUGAGAUUAAUUUUCUUUUUGUUAUUAUAUUGUGGCAAUUCCUGCAUCGCUGUUCUGAAAGAGCUUUAAAAAUGUUGUAUCAUUAAAUUAUGGUGUUGCAAAUAUUCUUAAAAACAAAACUGUUAAAUAUUUAUAUGUCUAUUACAAUAUUACUUAUUGCUGAAAAGAGAAAAUUCUUGUGGAGCAAAUUUGGACAAAGACUAGAAAUAUUCUCGAUAGGAGUAAGGUGACAUAACUAUCUAAAAGAAAUUAAAUGUUGCAAUUACAGAUUCCCAGCAUGCAUUUACGUGCAUUAAAGGAACAUUUAUCAUUAAUACAUUAUCAGCAGGUCUUUUUCUUAAAC